rnacentral:rRNA from 1 species
GACGAACGCUGGCGGCGUGCUUAACACAUGCAAGUCGAACGGAAAGGGCAUGCUUGGGUGGGGUGCUCGAGUGGCGAACGGGUGAGUAACACGGGAGACACCUGCCCUUGACUUGGGGAGAACCGCAGGAAACUGGGGCAAAUACCGGAUAGGAGCUCCUGCGGCAGGGAGGGGGGUGGAAAGUUUCGGCGGUUGGGGAUGGACUCGCGGCUGAUCAGCUUGUGGGUGGGGUAGGGGCUUACCAAGGCAUUGACGGGUAGCCGGCCUGAGAGGGUGACCGGCCACAUUGGGACUGAGAUACGGCCCAGACUCCUACGGGAGGCAGCAGUGGGGAAUAUUGCACAAUGGGCGGAAGCCUGAUGCAGCGACGCCGCGUGCGGGAUGACGGCCUUCGGGUUGUAAACCGCUUUCGCCUGUGACGAAGCGUGAGUGACGGUAAUGGGUAAAGAAGCCCCGGCUAACUACGUG